UACGGGGGGGGGCAAGCGUUGUUCGGAAUUACUGGGCGUAAAGGGCUCGUAGGCGGCCAACUAAGUCAGUUGUGAAAUCCCUCGGCUUAACCGGGGAAUUGCGUCUGAUACUGGAUGGCUUGAGUUUGGGAGAGGGAUGCGGAAUUCCAGGUGUAGCGGUGAAAUGCGUAGAUAUCUGGAGGAACACCGGUGGCGAAGGCGGCAUCCUGGACCAACACUGACGCUGAGGAGCGAAAGCCAGGGGGAGCAAACGGG
rnacentral:rRNA from 1 species